rnacentral:misc_RNA from 1 species
GGGACAACAGAAGGGAGAGGAAGCCAUCGACACAGCCGAGGCAUCAGCGCCUUUUGAUACUUUCGCACUGUUCGGCGGUGGUGCGUAUCGACUUUUCUCUCACUCUACUCACGUACACACGCACCGACAUUCACCGGCGCGUCCAGCGGUUCUGCAGGAUUGUACCUCUCUUCAGCUCUGCCUCCCUCCCUAUCUCUCUCUCUCUCGCGCGCGCUCCAGCAGUGGAGCGUAUUCUGCAUUGGCAUAGGCAGGGAAAACAAAGAGAAAACAUGGGGUUUCGCAUGCUGCAAGACUUUAUGCGCGUGCAGCGCUGGGAGCGCUCGAUCAGGAGGCGCGAGGAUCACUCAGAUGGCAUUGUUGUACGCGGCAUUCGUAUGAUCCCGUGGUCUGGGGUGGCCAUGUUCUUCUUCAUUAUGGUUUUCUUCGGUUUCGACCUCGGUGCCGGCAUCAAGCAGACAGCGCGGCAGAUCAAGGAAAAGAAGAAGGAUGCGCAGACGACGCUGGAGGUGCAGAAGAUCCAGGCGCGGCAGUGGUCGGUGGAGCAGGUGAAGAACUUUAGGGAGGGUGAGAUGCCGCAGCCUUCGUGGGAGAAGGGCGGUCCACGAGCGAGGUGACGUGGAAGAGGCGGCGUGGCGGCGGAGGCUGAAUAGAAGGGCAGAUGAGGUGCACUGUGUGCGGCUCACGUUGUCGGCGCUGCCUGCCCCCCUUCUUCUUCCCCGGCAAAGUGGUAUUCUUUCCGUAGUGUGCUGCCAUUGCGCUCCUCCUGCUCGAUCUGCCACACCCUCGUCUUUCCUUUCCCGCCUGCAGGGCGACAGUGGGGGGGGGUGGACCGGAGACGGAGAAGAGGGGGGCGAUUCAGCCACGCAGCAUCCCGCCCUAAACAAGGCGCGACAAACUCCGUGUAGGCACUCUUUGGACACACGCGCACGCUCACAAGUCUAUCCCUGACUGAGCACUCGCACACACGCACACACACACACACUCGGACAAAGACCCACAUAGGCCCAACGGCGUGCUGGUGGUGACAGUAGCAUGCUUCGGUGUCGAGUGCUUUUCAUUGCUGUUUGGAUGCACGGUGUUGCGGCUGCUGCCUGUCUCUCUCAGCACUUUACAGAGGGAAGCUCUUGUUCGUUUCC